GCGUUUGUAGUCCAACGGUCAGGAUGAAUGGAUAAUUGUCUUCCAAGCAAUAGACUUGGGUUCGACUCCGGCAAGCAUAUGCA